rnacentral:rRNA from 1 species
UACGUAGGGUCCGAGCGUUGUCCGGAAUUAUUGGGCGUCAAGGGCUCGUAGGCGGUCUGUUGCGUCGGGAGUGAAAACUUACAGCUUAACUGUGAGCGUGCUUCCGAUACGGGCAGACUUGAGGUAUUCAGGGGAGAACGGAAUUCCUGGUGUAGCGGUGAAAUGCGCAGAUAUCAGGAGGAACACCGGUGGCGAAGGCGGUUCUCUGGGAAUAUCCUGACGCUGAGGAGCGAAAGUGUGGGGAGCGAACAGG